GGCGGUGCGGCGAGGGCCGGGGCCUCUGCUGCUACCACCGCUCUGUUGCGACAGAUGGGAUGGAGUCGACGGAGAGAAGGAGACCGUGGGAAAGCCAUCUUCUUUGCGGCCUGGCCUCCUGACACCAGGGAUUCUGGGGGUUGUGGUUUCCGAACGGAUCGAGGCUGACACCUGAACUACGCGGCUUAACCGCUUGGCCCCAAGAGGGUCCUGUGGAGCUUCCCGACGUCACCUGGGCAGGAGUGGAAGAGAGUGAUCGGGAAUAUUGUGCUGGCAGUUGGAGCAGGCCAUACCGGAACUCCGGACCAAAAAUAAAACCGGUGCCCUUCCGCCCCCAACCUCAAAUGCUGAUUUUGCUUCCAAGUGUUGUUGAGAGCUGGCUCUGCAGUCAGCUCUGAGCUAGGCGCUACGAAAACGCUCAGUAAGACAGUGUCUCCUCUGGGAAUGUACAAGCUAGAUUCAAACCGAGAAACUGCUAAAGGUUGUGUGCAGGGCAGAACCUAGGGUACCAGGAGACCCAGCCCGCUGACUCGCCCCCAAAUAAAUGUUGGGGCUCCUCA